rnacentral:rRNA from 1 species
GACAGAGGGUGCAAACGUUGUUCGGAAUCACUGGGCGUAAAGGGUGCGUAGGCGGGUCUUUAAGUCAGGGGUGAAAUCCUGGAGCUCAACUCCAGAACUGCCUUUGAUACUGAAGAUCUUGAGUUCGGGAGAGGUGAGUGGAACUGCGAGUGUAGAGGUGAAAAUUCGUAGAUAUUCGCAAGAACACCAGUGGCGAAGGCGGCUCACUGGCCCGAUACUGACGCUGAGGCACGAAAGCGUGGGGAGCAAACAGG